UUUGCAGGAGGAACUGUGUCACUGUGGGGGUGGGCUUUGAGGUCUCAUAUGCUCAGGCCCCGCCCAGUGUGGCAUUACUUCCUGCUGCCUGUGGAUCAGGAUGUAGAACUCCCAGCUACCUCUCCAGCGCCAUGUCUGCCUGUGUGCCACCCUGCUUCCCUCCGUGACGUUGAUGGACUAACCCUCUGAACUGUACGCCAGCCAGUUAAAUGUUUUCUUUUAUAAGAGUUGUCGUGGUCAUGGUGUCUCUUCACAGCAAUAAAACCUUAACUAAGACAAACCAUUAAUCUCAGGACCUGCAGUAGCCUGGGAUGCCUCAUGGUUCAAGGACAGGACAGGAUUAAGUGAACAAAGUCCCAAAAGAAAAGUCUGGAGUUUCAGAUUGCACAGACAGGAACAAAGACCGCUUGCAUCUUUUUUAGAGGACGCCUUACCUUGGUUUUCUGAAAGAACUUUUGGUGUGGCUGGCCUAGUGAGGGAGGGGUUGAGCAUUCUGAUGCCAUCGCCUGGUGAGACCAAAGUCUGGAUGUUGACAUGCCCAGCAAGCACCAGAGGAAGGCCCUACAGCUGAGCCUUCUUGCACCUGCCAGUGUCUUAUGACCCCAAAUCCCCUUUAGUUGUGCACACAUGGACACUGUUUAGCUUCCUGGAGAUCUCGUCUGCAAAGCUGCCAGGUUGAAGUGACAGAGUUUAUCUUAUCAGCAAACGCCUUCUCGAUCCCCGGAAACUGUAAUUCAGACCAUUCACACCUCCCACAGGGAGUGGCACUAUUAGGAGGUGUGGCUAUGUUGGAGUAGCUGUGGCCUUGUCAGAGGAACUGUAUCACCAUGGGGCUUUGACAUCUCAGAUGCCCAAGCAGGGCCUAGUUGUCACUGUCAUUUCUGCUGCUGGAAGAUCAAGUCUGCCUGCACACUGCCACAUCGCACCAUGGGACGACGGACUAAACCUCUGAAACUGAACAAUGCUACAUAACAGCAUCAAAGAAGAUUCCAAAAUCUGGGGCCUAAAGAACAGAGGAAAGGAACACACUAAUCACUAAGAUUUGGGACAGUCUGGGGCUGGAGAAAUGGCUGGGCAGCUUGAUGCUCUUCCAUGGGGACCCAAGGUUCAUGUGUUUGACUAUCUAGUCCCCACCUACUUGCACAGUUCUGAGGGGCUAUAAAGCCUUUGGGGUGACAGGCACAGCUGGUGGAGGUGGGUCACUGGGGACAGACCUUUGAGAGUCCUGCUGACCCUGCUUCUUCUCUAAGCUCCCCUGUGAUCGAAGAAGCCAGAAGAACCUGUCACAACAGUUGGAGCUGCCACAGCUGCUGUGCCCCGAUGUAACAGACCAAAUCUUCUGAACAGAUUCCAAACAGAGCUACGCUGAGCUCACUCAUUUCAGAAAUGGCUGGUUGUUUUACGAUUCAGAAAGCCACAGAAUUUUCAAGAGCAGUUGCUUCCCCAUGGCACAGUACUGUCUCAAAACUCCAUUACUGAAUGCUGGUGCAGUUAUGGAACCCAUUUCUAUCUCUUAUGGGCCCUAAUGAAGUUUUAGUCAAUUGAACUUUUUCUACAAAAAUAAAAAUCUUCACACAGUUGAUUAUUUAAUUUUCCCCCGACAACAAAGCAAUAUGGGUAAUCAAUAAUUAUAGGCAGCCCCCUCAGGGGACAUGCAUAGCCACUUCCCAAUAAGGACUAGUUAUUAAACACUCAGUAGUAGCAGUACAGUUCUGUUUGUGCCUCCUGUUCUAACCUGGUUUGUUUCCCCAUAUCACAUCUCGGGCUUCUUUUGCCUACUGGAGGAAAUUGCCAUGUGAUGACACAAAUAUUUUGAAUUUUGAUGACAUGAAUAAAUUCAUCAUUUUAUGACUAUUUAGUAUUAAAACUUACAGGGUCAGUGACGGCUCAGUGUACAAAAGUGAUUACCUCGAAAGCCUGAUGACCUGAGUUUGAUUCUCAGAGCCCA